rnacentral:rRNA from 1 species
AGCCUUGAGAGUUAUUCAAGGUAAAGCCUGCCCAGUGCAAUUUGUUAACGGCCGCAGUACCCUGACUGUGCUAAGGUAGCAUAAUCAGUUGGCUUUUAAAUGGAGUCGGGAAUGAAUGGAUUUAUAGGGUUAAGCUGUCUCUUGUGUAUUCGAUUUAAUUUACUUAUUAGGUGAAAAUGCCUAAAUGACGAAAAAAGACGAGAAGACCCUAGGAGUUUUCACUAAAAUCUGUUAAGGAUUAUGUUUUUGUUGGGGCGACAUGAGAGUACUUACUAAACCUCUCUUUUUUAUUCGCCGACUAUGUAUGAAAAUUUAAACUACCCUAGGGAUAACAGCGUAAUUCUUUUUGAGUUUGCGACCUCGAUGUUGGACUAGGAAUUGGGCGGGCUAGCCGCCUGUCCUAAUUGUUCUGUUCGAACUAUUUUUCC